AUUAUUAUUUUUUUUUACUUUUAGCUUAUAUAUAAGUCACUCUCCGCUCAUGAUGAAUCCAUUAGCCGCUGGUUUUGUUCGGCGGAUGAGAGCAGAUCAAGCUCUCGGCCUAGUCCACCCUCCACGAACCUUCCGAGAUCCGUUCUUCCUUUGAGCAGUCGCUUUCUUCACCUCUAUUUGCGCGCUCGCUGUGUGUCUGUGUGUUUGUGUGUGGAUUUUCUAGCUAUGUGUUGGCUAGGUUAGGAUAUCAUGGAACAUGGGCAAUCUUCACUUGUUUACGAGAAAACAGUUUGAUCUGUGCAUCGGUCUUGCAUACAUGUGAAGAUCAGUUCAUUUUCGUUUACUUUUGUUGCUUUCUUCUCAAUGAUUGACGGUGAAGGGAGCCCUCUUCAGUCCACUCAUGGGUGGCUGCAGGAUUCAAUUAGCUGCCGACUCAUUCAUCCACAUGCUGUGUUAAAAGGAGAUACCCAGUAAAUGAGUGAAUGAACCGGGAGACAAAUUGGAUCUUUAGCUUCCUGUACUUGGACUGAAGGGAGCUCCCUUUCUUGUUAUGUUACUUAAAUCUCUUCUCUUGAUCUAAAAUCUUUCUUUGUUAGUACUCAUUUUAUUUCUUAAUUAAGUCCAUGUUUGAAUAAAGUGGUUUGCUUGAAUUGCUAAAGAUAAAUAUCGUUCACCGAUUGCUUUUCCCUUUCCAGACGCCAAGCACUCUUAUAGUGAUGCAGAGGUAAGUUACUUAAUUAUUACUACCUGUUUGACUUGAUGUUGAACAUGUUAAUUUAAAAUUUGGUAAGUCUCUCAGUCCUCUAAGAUUAUCGUUAAUUAAGUUUUAGUGGUGUUUCAUCUCUUGUGGUGAACUAGAAAGAGAUCUUUACCCUGGAAAGUCGGUAAGAGUAGGCAUGUAGAGAAAGCCUUCUCGCUUUUGUGCAUCAACAGAUGCCUUGUCUUUUCCAUGUCUGUUCGUUUCCUUUAAAAAUUGUCUCAACUAGGGUUAAGGUAUGCAAACUUUAAUUAAUAUUAAAAACAUCCUCGAAACUCGUUCAAUGAGGGAUGAACUAACUUGCUUUUCACUCGUGUCGACAGUAAAGAUUUAGGGUUUUGUCAAGCGUACAUUCAAGCCUGUGUCACCCAAGAGGCGCCUGAGCAUGACAUAGAUGCUCGCAAUAUACGACAAUAGCGUCUUGGGUCUUGCUCUCUUCCUGCAACAAGUUCCCAGACAUGUCUCCCAGAGGUGGAAGAAUAGAGGAUUCUUGGACGUCGACUUCUCCCCUGAGCUUGAGCUUUACAGGUCAUGAAUGUAAGGUUUCUUUGGUGUGGCAUGAAUUGUGGGCCUCAGUUUUUCCAUCUGUAUGAAAGACGGGUGAAGGAUCAUUUUCUUAAGCGGAAUAUACAAGACGGGUGGUAAGAUGGAAUUUUCUUUACUUUUUUUUUAGUGUAGGAAAGGAGUAAACUCUUGAGUUUAGGAAGAGGGCCUUCUUUUUGUUUAUAUGACUGCGAUCCUGUUCAGAUGCAAGAACUUGAGAAAACGUAGGUGGGAAUGACCACACACAGACACCCUCUCUCUCUCUCUCUCUCUCUCUCUCUCUCGCGAGAGCUAGCAAAGAGUUUUUGACUCCUUCUUUCAUGGAGUGAGCCGAACAACAAGCAUCGACCAACCCCAUUGUAGGGCAAACCUUGUGUGCUUUUUAGUUUAUUCGAGCUUCACUCGUAAUAAUUUUCUUCCUUCCUUUAUAUUUUUUCCUUCACGUACCUCUGAGCCUUUGAUCUAGGCAGGGGCUAAGUUAUGAUUCAAAUUUAUGGGCUCGAGCUUCACAAAAAUUAUUUGGCAGACGAUUUAAUUUGUUAAUAAAGUUGUGAAAAUGUUCUCGAUUUUUAUUGAAAA